CCCGGGAAACUGGGUAUAAUCCCCGAUAGAUGCUCGGUACUGCAAGGAAUGCCCCGAGAUCGAAAGCUCCGGCGCCAGAGGAUGGGUCUGCGGCCUAUCAGGUAGUAGUGGGUGUAGCGUACCUACUAGCCUACGACGGGUACGGGUUGUGAGAGCAAGAGCCCGGAGAUGGAUUCUGAGACACGAAUCCAGGCCCUACGGGGUGCAGCAGGCGCGAAAACUUUACAAUGCCGGCAACGGCGAUAAGGGGACCUCGAGUGCCAGGUUACAAAUCUGGCUGUCGUGAUGCCUAAAAAGCAUUGCAUAGCAAGGGCCGGGCAAGACCGGUGCCAGCCGCCGCGGUAACACCGGCGGCUCGAGUGGUAACCGUUAUUAUUGGGUCUAAAGGGUCUGUAGCCGGCCGGAUAAGUCUCUUGAGAAAUCCAGCAGCUCAACUGUUGGGCUUUCAGGAGAUACUGUUCGGCUCGAGGCCGGGAGAGGUGAGAGGUACUUCAGGG
rnacentral:rRNA from 1 species